AUUGAACGCUGGCGGCAGGCUUAACACAUGCAAGUCGAGCGGAGCGAGGGUGCUUGCACCUUAGCUUAGCGGCGGACGGGUGAGUAAUGCUUAGGAAUCUGCCUAUUAGUGGGGGACAACAUUCCGAAAGGGAUGCUAAUACCGCAUACGCCCUACGGGGGAAAGCAGGGGAUCUUCGGACCUUGCGCUAAUAGAUGAGCCUAAGUCGGAUUAGCUAGUUGGUGGGGUAAAGGCCUACCAAGGCGACGAUCUGUAGCGGGUCUGAGAGGAUGAUCCGCCACACUGGGACUUGUAAACGGCCCAGACUCCUACGGGAGGCAGCAGUGGGGAAUAUUGGACAAUGGGCUGAAGCCUGAUCCAGCCAUGCCGCGUGUGUGAAGAAGGCCGUUUGGUUGUAAAGCACUUUAAGCGAGGAGGAGGCUACUAGUAUUAAUACUACUGGAUAGUGGACGUUACUCGCAGAAUAAGCACCGGCUAACUCUGUGCCAGCCGCCGCAGUAA
rnacentral:rRNA from 1 species